AUACGGAGGAUGCAAGCGUUAUCCGGAUUUAUUGGGUUUAAAGGGUGCGUAGGCGGUUUGCUAAGCGGGAGGUGAAAUGCCGGCGCUCAACGUCGGAAGUGCCUCCCGAACUGGUGGACUUGAAUGACUCUGCCGUGGGAGGAAUGUGUAGUGUAGCGGUGAAAUGCUUAGAGAUUACACAGAACACCGAUUGCGAAGGCAUCUCACGAAGGGUUGAUUGACGCUGAGGCACGAAAGCGUGGGGAUCAAACAGGAUUAGAUACCCUGGUAGUCCCCGCAGUAAACGAUGAUGGCUAACCGCUGGGCUUAUCAGUUCAGUGGCCAAGCGAAAGCGAUAAGCCAUCCACCUGGGGAGUACGACCGCAAGGUUGAAACUCAAAUGAAUUGACGGGG
rnacentral:rRNA from 1 species